UACGAAGGGGACUAGCGUUGCUCGGAAUUACUGGGCGUAAAGCGCACGUAGGCGGUCUUUUAAGUCGGGGGUGAAAUCCUGGAGCUCAACUCCAGAACUGCCUUCGAUACUGGAAGACUUGAGUCCGGGAGAGGUGAGUGGAACUGCGAGUGUAGAGGUGAAAAUUCCUAGAUAUUCGCAAGAACACCAGUGGCGAAGGCGGCUCACUGGCCCGGUACUGACGCUGAGGUGCGAAAGCGUGGGGAGCAAACAGGG
rnacentral:rRNA from 1 species